GACAACCAAAUAGCUCAGUGGCAGAGCACCUGCUUAGCAUUCAGAAGGCCCCAGGUUCAAUCCCAGGCAUCUCCA